UACAGAGGGUGCAAGCGUUAAUCGGAUUUACUGGGCGUAAAGCGUGCGUAGGCGGUUCAUUAAGUCGAUUGUGAAAUCCCUGGGCUUAACCUGGGAACUGCAGUCGAUACUGGUGGACUAGAAUGCGGUAGAGGGUGGCGGAACUCCGGGUGUAGCGGUGAAAUGCGUAGAUAUCCGGAAGAACACCGAUGGCGAAGGCAACCACCUGGGCCUGCAUUGACGCUGAGGUACGAAAGCGUGGGGAGCAAACAGG
rnacentral:rRNA from 1 species